rnacentral:rRNA from 1 species
CCUACGGGUGGCAGCAGUGGGGAAUAUUGGACAAUGGGGGAAACCCUGAUGCAGCGACGCCGCGUGAGCGAAGAAGUACCUAGGUGUGUAAAACUCUAUCAGCAGGGGAGAAAAUGAAGGUACCUGAGUAAGAAGCUCCGGCCAAAUACGAGCCAGCAGCCGCGGUAACACGUAAGGAGCAAGCGUUAUCCGGAUUUACUGGGCGUAAAGGGAGCGUAGGCGGGCUGCUAAGUGUGAUGUGAAAUACCGGGGCUCAACCUUGGGGCUGCAUUUGAAACUGGCAGGCUUGAGUGCAGGUGAGGUAGGCGGAAUUCCUGGUGUAGCGGUGAAAUGCGUAGAUAUUACGAGGAACACCGAUGGCGAAGGCAGCCUACUGGACUGUGACUGACGCUGAGGCUCGAAAGCGUGGGGAUCAAACAGGAUUAGAUACCCCAGUAGUC